rnacentral:ncRNA from 1 species
UAUCCGGGAAUGAAGUUCUCCCGUAGCGUUUGCUAAAACCGCUUAAUAAGCUGAUGACUUCUGCAUU